CCAGCCGAGGAUUAUCCAGUUGUUAUGCAAUUCUUACCUUACAUCUAAGUUCUCGUUCGUUUAACUCGUUUUUCAAUAAGGAAUUCAGAAGUAAUCACGACUUGGCUUGGCUGCAUGCUUACAACAACUGAUCACUCAUGCACUUCAAAAGAAGACCGCACCCUUCUUAGGGACUUACCGCAGGAAUUGCGCCCUCCGAUGGACCAA
rnacentral:lncRNA from 1 species